UUUCGCGGUAAAUAAACGCUCGCGUAACUUCUCACAAGACACAUCGCAAACAGAAGCACCGCCCCCCCAGUUCCUUCAGCAUCGACCUAGUCGUGCUGCGCCGCCACGGCCGGCCGGCCGCCCGGCCUUCUGCCCAGGUCCUCGGCCUGCUGCCUGGCCUUCUGCUCAGCUGGUCAGCUCCUCGGCCGGCCUCCUUGCUUCUAUUCCUCCGUAUAGGAAGUCCAGCAACAAGAUCGCCUUACUUUGAUCUGGUAAACGAGGAAGUUGAAAAAAAGCAGGAAGAGUAACAAAAAAAUCUCUGCCUUUUUCCUGACGGGUGUGAUCUUAUCAUGUUGGCUUUCUUAUAUGAUGCCAGUCCCAUGUGUUGAUACCAGAUCGCUAUAAAGGAUGAGAUGCUCCACAGAUUUGGAGAGAGUAAUGGUUAGUUCCUAGGUUUGUGGUGGAAUCGAAAACCGCUUCAGUGUCCGACUUGGUGUAAGCUGGCCGAGUUAUCAUCUUCUAUUUUAAUAUUUUUUU